GGUCAAGCGAAUAAGUGCAUGUGGUGGAUGCCUUGGCGAUUACAGGCGAUGAAGGACGUAGUAGCCUGCGAAAAGCUGCGGGGAGCUGGCAAACAAGCUUUGAUCCGCAGAUGUCCGAAUGGGGAAACCCGGCCCGUAUGGGUCAUCCCUUGCUGAAUACAUAGGCAAGGGAAGCGAACGCAGCGAACUGAAACCU
rnacentral:rRNA from 1 species